rnacentral:rRNA from 1 species
GACAGAGGGUGCAAGCGUUGUUCGGAAUUACUGGGCGUAAAGCGCACGUAGGCGGCUUUGCAAGUUAGAGGUGAAAGCCCGGGGCUCAACUCCGGAAUUGCCUUUAAAACUGCAUCGCUAGAAUUGUGGAGAGGUAAGUGGAAUUCCGAGUGUAGAGGUGAAAUUCGUAGAUAUUCGGAAGAACACCAGUGGCGAAGGCGACUUACUGGACACAUAUUGACGCUGAGGUGCGAAAGCGUGGGGAGCAAACAGG